UGAACUCAAAUUUGUUUGCAGUUGGAACGUUUGCCUACGUUUGCCGUUAGGGGCGCUGUUCUAACUGCAAACAAAGAGCUA
rnacentral:pre_miRNA from 1 species